rnacentral:rRNA from 1 species
CCUACGGGUGGCAGCAGUGGGGAAUAUUGCACAAUGGGGGAAACCCUGAUCCAGCAAUGCCGCGUGUGUGAUGAAGGCCUUCGGGUUGUAAAGCACUUUUGGCGGGAACGAAAAGGACUGUGCCAAUACCACGGUUCGAUGACGGUACCCGCAGAAUAAGCACCGGCUAACUACGUGCCAGCAGCCGCGGUAAUACGUAGGGUGCGAGCGUUAAUCGGAAUUACUGGGCGUAAAGAGUGCGCAGGCGGUUUUGCAAGACCGAUGUGAAAUCCCCGGGCUUAACCUGGGAACUGCAUUAGUGACUGCAAGGCUAGAGUGUGUCAGAGGGAGGUGGAACUCCGCAUGUAGCAGUGAAAUGCGUAGAUAUGCGGAAGAACACCGAUGGCGAAGGCAGCCUCCUGGGAUAACACUGACGCUCAUGCACGAAAGCGUGGGGAGCAAACAGGAUUAGAUACCCGGGUAGUC